UGCAGUCGAGCGCUCUCUUCGGAGGGAGCGGCGGACGGGUGAGUAACGCGUGGGAACGUGCCCUUCUCUAUGGAAUAGCCACUGGAAACGGUGAGUAAUACCAUAUACGCCCUUCGGGGGAAAGAUUUAUCGGAGAAGGAUCGGCCCGCGUUAGAUUAGGUAGUUGGUGGGGUAAUGGCCUACCAAGCCUACGAUCUAUAGCUGGUUUUAGAGGAUGAUCAGCCACAUUGGGACUGAGACACGGCCCAAACUCCUACGGGAGGCAGCAGUGGGGAAUCUUGCACAAUGGAGGAAACUCUGAUGCAGCGAUGCCGCGUGAGUGAAGAAGGCCCUUGGGUUGUAAAGCUCUUUCGUCGGGGAAGAAAAUGACUGUACCCGAAUAAGAAGGUCCGGCUAACUUCGUGCCAGCAGCCGCGGUAAUACGAAGGGACCUAGCGUAGUUCGGAAUUACUGGGCUUAAAGAGUUCGUAGGUGGUUGAAAAAGUUGGUGGUGAAAUCCCAGAGCUUAACUCUGGAACUGCCAUCAAAACUUUUCAGCUAGAGUAUGAUAGAGGAAAGCAGAAUUUCUAGUGUAGAGGUGAAAUUCGUAGAUAUUAGAAAGAAUACCAAUUGCGAAGGCAGCUUUCUGGAUCAUUACUGACACUGAGGAACGAAAGCAUGGGUAGCGAAGAGGAUUAGAUACCCUCGUAGUCCAUGCCGUAAACGAUGUGUGUUAGACGUUGGAAAUUUAUUUUCAGUGUCGCAGCGAAAGCGAUAAACACACCGCCUGGGGAGUACGACCGCAAGG
rnacentral:rRNA from 1 species